GCGGUGCUGCGCCUCCGAGGCCGGAGGUUUGGAUAACGCAGAGGGUACCGCUUACAGCCUGUCUCCGCCUCUCAGGAUACGGACUGCGGAAAUUGUGAGAUUUCAGUCUGAAAACUGAGUGACCUGAAACCCGUCCCAUUAGUUGAAACUCUUACCUUGGGUUCUUAGUUCCACGACCAGGGAUUGAACCCUGUGCCCCCUCUGCUGGAAGCAUGGAAUCUAAGCACUGGACCCCCAGAGUACACCCAUGUGAAAUGGCGGGCUGGAUGAAGCACAAACUGGAAUCAAGAUUGCCAG